rnacentral:rRNA from 1 species
UACAGAGGUCUCAAGCGUUGUUCGGAUUCAUUGGGCGUAAAGGGUGCGUAGGUGGCGCGGUAAGUCGGGUGUGAAAUCUCGGAGCUUAACUCCGAAAUUGCAUUCGAUACUGCCGUGCUCGAGGACUGGAGAGGAGACUGGAAUUCAUGGUGUAGCAGUGAAAUGCGUAGAGAUCAUGAGGAAGACCAGUGGCGAAGGCGGGUCUCUGGACAGUUCCUGACACUGAGGCACGAAGGCCAGGGGAGCAAACGGGG